AUAUAUCAACCCUCUUCAGCUUUUUUGUAUGUCGAGUGUUGGAUGUGGGGGCUUUUGCUGGACUCUCUCUUGAGGUCAGCUCUCCUAAAAUACAUUAGCAAAACAAUUUGUUUACUGCUCAUUGGUGUGAUAACUAUCUACGCUAUUGACGGUAAAGCACAGUUUAGCUUCUAGCAGUCCAUUGACUUGGACAACCUUUUAUCA
rnacentral:misc_RNA from 1 species